AACCAAGAUUCCCAUUUCUCUCUUUCUCUCUCAGACCUUCAUUCUCUCUCUUCUUUAUUAUUGUCACCAUCACCAUCUUCAUUGUUUCUCUUUCUUCUUUCUUCUUUUCUUUGAGAAUUCAAAAAAACUUCUGUGCAUUCACCAUCAUCAUCAUCCCUUCUCUCAUCCUCUCUCUUUCUUCAUGUUUCAAUCACCAAGAACACACACAAGUGUGUGUGAGAGAAUCGUUAUUGUUAAAACCCCUUCGUGUUCAUGAAGAACACCAAGAACACACACACAAGUGUGUGAGAAAGAAGCAGGCCUGAAUCAUUCGGUUGCAUGUGUUUCUAGAGAGAGAAAGUUAUUAGAACACCAAGACCAAGAACACACACAAGUGUGUGAGAGAGAAGCAGGUCAGAAAUCAUUUGGUUCAUGGGUUUUAGAGAGAGAAAGUUGUUAGAACGCCAAGAACACACACACACAAGUGUGUGUGAGAGAAUCAUUUUUGAAGAUCUUCAUCGUGUUCAUCAGACGGGUCUAGAUCCGGAGUGAGGAGAAUGACCAGGUCCGUGACGGGUAGGCUGGCUAAUAAGCGAAAGCAGAACGAUAAAGAAACAGAACGAUAACGAAAGAAGGUAGAUGGAGAAACCGAUGAAGAAUGGGAACAAGAAGUCGAUGAAUGGGGUGAAAGCAAUGGAGUUAGGGUUUUGAAGAGAAAGGAAUGGGGUAUGAAGAAGAAAGAAAGAGAUGGAUUCUGUAUGUAUUUUUUUGUUUAAAAAGGGAAGAAAUGAUGGGUAAUAAAUGAGUUGAUGUGAUGGUGAAGAGAGUGAAAUGAUAUCUUGAUCAAAUGACCAAUAUGCCCUUUUAA